rnacentral:lncRNA from 13 species
UGAACUCACAACCGCUGGGCCGGCUGCAAGUUCCCCGCCCCUACAGCUUUUGGUCACCUUGACACAGGGACCCUAAAACGCAUUAAAUUCAUCUCUCCCUAUCUCUCUCUCUUCUCGCUCUCUCUUUUUUUCUUUGUCUCUGUCUCCUCUCUCCUCUCCUAUCUACUUUCUCUCUGUUCUGUCUAUUCUUUCUCUCUUUUUUUGUCUCCUCUCUCCUCUUUCCCUCCUGCUUCUGUUUCUUUUGACAGAAGAGACAGUUACUCCUUUUUUAUCCUAAACGGGCAAAGAGGAAUGGUAGUUUCUUAUUUAAAGUUUGAUUCCCUAAAACAGAGAAAAAAACUACACCCAAGUCGUCGGGGGCAGAAUUUUCUCUUGGACAUGAAAAAAAGGAAGAACGAGGCCUCAAUGAUAGAAUAAGAAGAAGAAAAGGAAAGAGAACAGAAUUAUUUCCAGGGGUGUAAACUCGAUUAGAGUUCCUUGAAGUCAGUGGUCACUUAGCCAAUGGAGAAUAUUAUCCACCUCAAGAGUAACAGGUCUAAACCACUAUAUAUUGGCCAACAGAAGUCUAACAAAACUGGUGAAUUUACAAUAAAGACAGAACCACAUAUAGGAUUGACAGACAAAGGAUGGGUGCCCCCCAGAUGGGAGACCAGUCUGAUGCCUGCCCAGCCACGUCCUCAGAGGGAUGUUUCAGAGCGUCUUGGCUAAUAUGUACCUGUAUAAACCCUGGGCCUGGCCACCUCAGAAUUUUCAGUUCUGAGAUGAAUCACAAUUAUGCCUUAUGACAUCCCCAUGGAACCUUGGGUGAAGGCCCAUACAAGCCCCAUAGCCUUCCAGCUGUGGGACUACAUAUAUACACACUCACUGUCUCACUCACACCGAGGUUAUGGAAAACAACCGAAAGCUAAAUUACCGAAGCCUCUCAUGAGGCAACCUGAGCCUCCAGUGACAUCUCACGGAACAAACAUGGGUGUAAAACUCCUCUGCAAAGUGGGACUGCAUUCAUGUUACCUGACUUCUUGGAAGCAUCAUCUCCUCCUCUGGGAAAUGCUGGUCAUGAAUGCACCUCCUGCACAAGUUGCAAAAAGGAUUGAAUCAUGGGUGGUUUCUUUGAAAACUUUGAAAAGAAAAUAUGGUUCAGAAAAGUUUUCCCAACAGAAAUGACUUCCCACUUUUCUCCAUCCUGCAAAUCAUUUGAAAGCUCCUACUCAAGUUGCAUCUGCGUUGAACAGUCUGUGCCAUGCCAGGCCUCUUUGUUUUAUGGAUUCAUAAGUGGCCUUUAGCAACUGGGAAACACGUGUAACUGUUACAACUAUGGCAUCAUAUUCACCAUCGUCUUCGCCAUCACCGUCAGCACCACCUUCAGCAGCACCAGCAGCAUCAUUGUCUUCAUCAACAUCAUUGAAUUUGUUGAUUUCAUUCUAUUGGCCAUGAAUCAUGGUAAAGUAAUUUACAUGGAUUUUUCUCAAUUAAUAUUCACUCUAACCUUAUGUGAUUUCCAUAGAUUGUCACCACUCACAGAUAAGUAGCAGAGUCUUAGGAAGUUAGCUAAAAUAGCAUAGCUAAUAAAUAAAUG